CAAGGGGGUAUUGCUGUUUAAGGCGAGAAAAAAGUAAUUUUAAUUAAAAAGGGCGAUAUUUGUUUACUUUUUGACAUACCAGAGGACACAUUUUCAGAGAUUUGGCGGUUUACUGGCACGUUCAAGUUUCUCGUGAAUUAUUGAGUACUGUCCACUCUAUAUAAGACGUAAGACGUGACACCACUCAGGGUAUUGGUUUGCAGUGAAUAUUACAAAGAGUGACGAUUAAACUUGAAGAAACAAUCGGUUGACGAGCUCAAAGAUUUCUUCAGCUCCAAAUUCAACGAAUUUCGUUGAUAAGGAAUAGGCUGUGAAGCCUGCACGGAAGACAGAAUAUUUAGGGAUGCACCAGUAAGAUUCAACAUAGGUACAAGAUUAUAAUAAUUGCUAGGCUGGGGCCGGCCCGCUUAGCUCAGUAGGGAGAGCGUUGGUCUACGUGGGUCGCGAGUUCGAAUCCCGGGCGGGGCGUAUGUUCUCCGUGACGAUUUACUAAAGGACAUUGUGUCUGAAAUCAUUCGUCCUCCACCUCUGAUAUUCAUGUGGGGAAGUUGGCAGUUACUUGCGGAGAACAGGUUUGUACUGGUACAGAAUCCAGGAACACUGGUUAGGUUAACUGCCCGCCGUUACAUAACUGAAAUACUGUUGAAAAACGGCGUUAAACCCAAAACAAACAAACAAAAGCUAGGCUUGGACCUCAUUCAGGGAUCAUCUGGAUGUCAUCAGCGACUCAGAUGACGACAAACGUACCCGAUGUGCGAAAGAGAGGUCACUUUCAGUUAGUCAGAGACGCCCGCAAAUCCAUUUGCUACCUUUGGUAGUUCUGAUGCUCGUAUAUGUAUACCACUAUUUUGAAAUGCCACCCCACUCCUCUGAAAAAAAUGUUCGGUGUUGAUUUUACAAUGUUCAUAUUUUAGAAAAUGUUACCAUGUAAAUAAAAUGCAAUUAAACCAUGAGUACAACAUGUUCUAUUUUUAGACUGUCUAGUAUUUAAUUCAUAUUGAAAAAAUGGUCAUGGAUUUUAGAUGAGACAAAAUUUUCAAGUUAUCUGGGCCGACUUUAUCACAUGUAAAAAUAUUUUUGGCUAUUUGCGUUUGUACUUAUUUUGUAUAUGAUCGCUAUAAUCCACUUAUUAGUCCCCUACUGGUUGAAAACCAGUUUCGGGGACUAUAGGAAUGCACUUUUCCGUCAUUCCGUCCGUCCGUCCGUCCGCAAUUUCAUGUCCGGUCCAUAACUCUGUCAUCCACGAAGGGAUUUUAAUAUUACUUGGCACAAAUGUUCCCCAUGAUGAGACGACGUGUCAUGCGCAAAACCCGGACCCCUAGCUCAAAGGUCAAGGUCACAAUUGGAGGUCAAAGGUCAACAGGGCUUUUUUCCUGUCCGGUCCAUAACUCUCCCAUCCUUGAAGGGAUUUUAGUAUUACUUGGCACAAAUGUUUCCCAUGAUGAGAUGAUGUGUCAUGCGCAAAUCCCGGACCCCUAGCUCAAAGGUCAAGGUCACAAUUGGAGGUCAAAGGUCAACAGGGCUUUUUUCCUGCCCGGUCAAUAACUCUCCCAUCCAUGAAGAGAUUUUAAUAUUACUUGGCACAAAUGUUCCCCAUGAGAAGACGACGUGUCAUGCGCAAAAGCUGGACUCCUAGCUUAAAGGUCAAGGUCACAAUUGUUGGUCAAAGGUUAACAAGGCUUUUUUCCUGUUCGGUCCAUAACUCUCCCAUCUAUGAAGGGAUUUUAAUAUUACUUGGCACAAAUGUACCUCAUAAUAAGAUGAUGUGUCGUGCACAACUUUCAGACCCCUAGCUCAAAGGUCAAGGUCACACAUAGCAGUCAAAUGUUAACAUAGCAUGAACAGGGUCUGUUUCGUGUCCGGUCCAUAACUCUGACAUUCAUUAAGGGAUUUUAAUAUCACUUAGCACAAGUGUUCCCCAUGAUGAGACAACGUGUCAUGCGCAAAUCCCGGACCCCUAGCUCAAAGGUCAAGGUCACAAUUGGGGGGUCAAAGGUCAAGAGAGUUUUUUUCCUGUCCCAUCCAUAACUCUGCAAUCCAUGAAGGGAUUUUAAUAUUACUUGGCACAAAUGUUCCCCAUGAUGAGACAACAUGUCAUGCGCAAAGCCCAGACCCUUAGCUCAAAGGUCAAGGUCACAAUUGGAGGUCAAAGGUCAAUAAGGUUUUUUCCCUGUCCGAUCCAGAACUCUAUCAUCCAUCAAGGGAUUACAAUAUUACUUGGCAUAAAUGUUUCCCAUGAUGAGACGACGUGUCAUGCGCAACACCCAGUACCCUAGCUUAAAGGUCAAGGUCACACUUUGAGAUCAAAGGUCAAGAGGAUUUUUUUCCUGUCCGGUCUAUAACUUUGUCAUGCAAAGCAGGAUUUAGAUAUCAGUUGGCACAAAUAUUCCCCUGGAUGAGACAACAUGUCAUGCGCAAGAACCAGGUCCCUAGGUCUAAGGUCAAGGUCAUAUUUAGAGGUCAAAGGUCAAAUUCAAGAAUGACUUUGUACGGAACAUUUCUUCUUCAUGCAUGGAGGGAUUUUGAUGUAACUUGGACCAAAUGUUCACCACCAUGAGGCACCCUUGUUUUUAGAAUUACGUCCCUUUGUUUUACUAUAAAUAGAUUUUAUUGUAACUUUUUUAUUACUGGCGGUAGAGAAAAAAUCGAGACCACUUUUCUGUGGUACAGCAUGCAUGUUACAUCCAAUUUUUAGGCGUAUUUUGACCUAUCUCUACCUGGUAAAGAGUUUCUUGUGGACUUAUAUUAUAUAGAUUUUUUUUAAAGAUUAAUUUCCCUUUGUUGUUACUAUAAAUAACUUACAUGAUAACAUUUUUAUAAUCAGCCAAAAAAAUCAAUAUGAAAACAACUAGGUUUUUAUAUAUACAAAUUUAAACCAAGUGUUUUGUUAUAACAUAUUGUAUAUAUAGUACAAUAUUGUUUAUACAUCAUUGACAGAUACCAGUUCAUUAUGUUAUACUGCAGUAGAGAAAAUUAGGUGCCUUCCAGUAGGGACUUUGUAUUGCAUGGCAAUACUUCAUUCACUUGUUUAUACUAUUUUGUUUCAUUUUGCACAAUUGACACCCCAGAAAUAAAAGGUCGUAAGUGAAAAACAGUACUUUUGAGAAAACUGAAAAAAAAUAAUGUUUUAUAGACUUCUCACCAAAACCAUUUAUAUCUGUUUUCAAUCUCAUAGCUAAAGCUGUACCGAUGGGCAUGUAUUUAUCGAGAUGAUGACAUUUUAGAAAUUGUAUAUACACCAUUUUACAGUCCCUAAUAGUGAAAGGUCGCAUCUACUACUUACCACCUAUUUACUAUUUAUUUUUUUGUAUCCAAAAUCACAUAAUAUGCAAUCUUAAAAGGUUGUAAGAGGCAGAUACGACCUUCUACUUCAGUAGAUAUUUCUAAAACUGGCAAAAAAAAAAUGGAUCGUACGUAACAGAUACCUUAUAUUAUUAACAAAAUGUCAUUUUUGGUUCAAUAAACAGGAUCACACAGUAAUGAUUUUCUGUUAAGGUUAUAGCCCUUUUCAUGCAGUUUCCGAAAAUGUAUAGGUCAUAUAAGGUUGUGAGUAACAGUUACGACCUUAUUUUUCUGGGACGUCUGAAUGAGAGAUUCUGGCAAAGACAGAGUUAAGUAGAAGUCAUGGUUAUGUCAAGGACUCUUUGAAAGGCAAGUUAUCAGCUUCCUUUAAUUUAGAUAGUAGUUUGACAAUAGUUAAUUUCAUAAAUGACUUAUGGGAUAGUCACAUGCCCAAUUAACGAUAUUUUGACUUUAGCUGUAUGCUAAACUUUUGAUGUUUUAAGCUGAGCAAGGGUGAUAGCGGUUGCAACGUGCCCAGGAUAUGCUAAUGUGUUAAUGUUGAGCACGGAUGAUAGUGGUUGCUAUGUGUCAAGAAUGUGCUAAUGUGUUAUUUUGAUCACAGGUGAUAGUCAUUUUUAUGUGCCCAGAAUGUGCUAAUGUGUUUAUGUUGGGCAAGGGUGUUAGCGCUUGCAGUGUGAAAGUCUUUACUAUGUGCCCAGAAUGUUCUAAUGUGUUUAUGUUGGGCACGGGUGUUGGCGCUUGCAGGGAGAAAGUCUUUACUAUGUGCCCAGAAUAUGCUAAUGUGUCUAUGUCGAGCACGGGUGUUAGCGCUUGCAGGGUGAUAGUCUUUACUAUGUGCCCAGAAUGUGCUUAUGUGUUUAUGUGGAGCACGGGUGAUAGCGAUUGCAGGGUGAUAGUCUUUACUAUGUGCUCAGAAUGUGCUAUAAUGUGUUCAAAAAAGUGUUGAGCACGGAUGAUAGCGGUUGCAGGGUGAAAGUCUUUACUAUGUGCCCAGAAUAUGUUGAGCACGGAUGAUAGCGGUUGCUAUGUGCACUGAAUGUACUACUGUGCUUAUGUGGAGUACGGGUGAUGGCAGUUGAUGUGUGCCAAGGAUGUGCUAAUGUGAUAUGCUAAGCAUGGAUGAUACCGGCUGCUAUGUGUCAGAGAAUGUACCAAGGGUUUUAUAAGUAUAAUGUUUUUCGGCGACGCCGUCUAAAUUCGUUUUCGUUACCUAUGCCACGUGACUUCAGUUUGCAAAUCAAACUACUUGAUAACGCAUUAUAGAUAAUUUAUCAAAAUGGAAGAUUUAUGCAACACCCUGCCUGAUUGGACGAGAGUGUCAAUUUCUUUCACUCUGUUGAUUGUGCUACGCUGAGUGAAAUGUAGACAAAGCGUUUAUCCUAAACGACGCUGUUCACAGUUUUAAAGCUAACUUUGGCUCAGUAUAUUUAGCAAGAAUAUUGAUAUAUCUCAAAAUGAUAAGUAAGUUUAAUAAAUAUGAUAAAAAAACCUGUUCAAAUACCAACAUAUAUCAAAUGAAAGAAAGAGCUGAAUACGGUCUGCGUAUCACAUGAAUAAGGGUGUGAUAAGAGUCUUUUAUGUAGAGAAGUGUUUUUUAAAAGAUUUUCCUUGUUACAAUUGUCGUCUGUAUAUGAAAAGGUUUCUUGCUUUUGCGACUUAUUCAGAUUGCAUAUUAAAAUGAGUACUUGUUUGCUUUGAUAUAUUUGUUAUAAAUCAUUUAACUGAUUUAUUAUAUAUGAAUAUUUUUCUUUAGUAUGGUAUGCAAAUAUUGAACUCAGUUGAAAUCUGUUUUAUUAUAUAUAUGCUAUAUAUUAAUGACUGAAUCUCAUUACACUGAAAAGAAGGUACGCUGCAUACAGUUUAUCUAUGUGAUAUGACUACGGUCAAACUUUGCUUACAAAACAGAAAUAAUUACAAUUGUAUGUUUUGUUUGACCUUCACUUUUUUAUAGGUGUGACGUAAUUGUCCAAAGAUUCAUGAAUAGCGAAUAUGCAUUUGUUAAAGCGGGAUCAGUUGGCCUAUUUUAGAAAUAAAUAAAAAUAAUAAAUAAAAAAUCCUUUAAUUGAUUUUUUCUCAUGUAUUCUUAUCAAACUUGAUUUGUAGCAUCUUUAUUAGGCCCGCAGCCAACUUUGUUCAGCUGGGACAUUUAACCCCUUUUAGGGGCUGCUAGAGCUAAAACUAGAAAUGCCUUUAUACAGCGUCUCAUGAACAGCUUGGUGGAUCUUUGUCAUACUUGGUCUGGAGCAUCAUUAUAAGGCCCUCUUCCAAAUUUAUUUAUAUAGGAACUUGGGCCCUAUUAGGGACCACUAUAGCUAAAAGUAGAUAUGCCUUUCUUCGCAUUAACCACUAAAAUGUAAUGGAUUUUUAUCAAACUCGAUGUGUAACAAUAUCGUAAGGUCUCCUGCUAUUUUGUUACAAAUGGGGAUAGGGACCAAUUUAGCUAAAAAUAUAAACACGUUUAAUGGCAUCUUCUAAUGAACCGCUUCAUGAAUCUUCAUCAAACUACUGCUGUAAUAAUUCGUCUAAGGAUAAACGAAACAAAAUUGCAACCCUACGAAACCUUUGCGAAAAAUUAAAAGAGAACCAUUUAAAUUGUUAAAGUGCGGUGUUUAGUUUUGCAACUUGAAAAAUGUUAGAGGAAAGAUGAAUGUUAGAUGAAAAAUUCAUAAACUUCUUUCCUUAUUACAAUUCGCCGACCAUCAUUUUUAAAGAUAUUUCUUGUUAUUUAUUUAUCUAUUAAAUUUUCUGUAAGAGAGUGAAACUGUGUACAUUUUUGUAUCUUCUAAUAUUCUUAAGUAUGUCUGAGCUAUAGGCUUCAGUGGCGUUUAUUGGCGCCGUGAAAUGCUUAACACUGGAAACGACGUUUGUGACGUCGGGCGUAUAAUAUGGCGCUGCCAUACGGCUUAAACUUUCACACACUUCUUCUGUAUCUGAUAAUCUUUUUAAAUCGUAUAUGAUUUUAGACUAGCGUUCUAUACUGACAUUUAUUAAUUGUAAUUUUUCUUUAUAUUCUAUUAUAAAAGUUUAUUUUUUAUCCAUUUUCUGAUUUGUUUUAAGUUCUAAUUAUGUAUGACCUUUCAGUACAGUUUGAAAUAGUGGUCAGAAUAAGAAGGUUUCGUACAAGUAUUUGAUGUCACGAUGCAGGUUGGAACAACACGUCAUGCAUUCUGUUUGGGUAAUAUUUGUAUCAAGAUAUUUUGUGUCUUGGAAACAUUUCAUGCUAAUACCUUGAAUGACCACCGAUUGAAAGAGAAGAAUUAGAUUCUAAAAUCAGGGAAAGUGAGGACCUAUUGCUGAAGUUAGAAUCGUCGCUUAGCAAUCAGGAGGCAGAGAGAGCUGCAAACAAGAAACUCACAGCAGAAAAUACCAGGCUUUAAAAACAUCACGAUGAUAUGGAAGAAAAAUUUGAAGGCAUGGAAAGAGGUCACAUGAGUCUAGUAUCAGAAGUGGAAUCGCUACGUAGGGUCAACCAAGAGCAGUGGGAUACAAUCCUGAAACUGAACUCAGAAAUAAAAUUGUUGAAAGAGACGCAGGGAGGUGACGAUAACGUUAGAGACAUGCAAGAGAAGUUGAUAAGAAUGUCAAAUGAACAGGAAGACAAAAGUAUGUGGAUCUAUAGUUUAGAAGGUGAAUUAGAUGUCACACGAGAAAAACUGAAGGACGCUGAAUCUCGUGCUGCGGGAGGAGGAACUAAUUCAGCUCAGAAUUCUAAAGCUUGCUUAGUGAUGUAGGCAGUUUGAACGGUAUGCAUUUAACGUUAGCAAAUACCGUGUCCCUCUAAUCCGCACUAAUUAUCAGUGUUUUCCAUUUAGACUGUCCGUCUGCAUCUUUUGUUAUAGUUUAGAAAUACAGUAUGCAUCAUAAUUUUAAUUUAGGGACCUUGUAUGCCAAGGCGCCAAGGCAGGUGGCACAGUUACUUAGUGGUAGAGAUUUGUCAGAGCCGAGAGAGGAAUUUGACCGAUGCCUCUCACAACACAUUUAGUCACGAAUACUGGACUAUUAACUAAAAAACGUGUAUAUCAUGUAUUGAAAAGUUUACAAUUCAGUGCUUUAGUAUGCCAAACAUUCUGAUUAUCUAAGUUCUACUCUGUUUGCUUAAACUCUUAGUCGUACAUACAUCAUUUUCAUUAAAUAAUUGUUUUAAUACUGUAUUUCUUUAAAGUGGACGUUUCAAGCAACACGUCCACUACAUCAGCACUCGAUUUAAGAAUCGGAUUGAUGGCUUUGUACAUGUCGUUAUUUGUCGGCUAUUAUGCAUAUGGGGUAAUGAAAUUGGACAAUCACUGUACAUUUUGCGUGCACAAAAUACACGUGCACAACUGCUACCGAUAUUUGUUGUAACUAUUACAUGAGGCAUAUGACAAAUAUAGAUCUAAAUGUAUAACAAAUCGUUUAUUCAUUUUCUAUUAUUUAAUAAGCAAUAAAUCAUGUAUUAUUCG